AGAGCCCGAUGCAGGGCUCGAACCCACAAACCCGUGAGAUCAUGACUUGAGCCGAAGAGUCGGACACUCAACCAACUGAGCCACCCAGGCGCCCCUCAGUCUGUUACUCUUAACUCAGUGAUAUGACUCCUCUUUCUGGGAAGCUCACUGUUAUCUAAAAACAGGCAUACAGCAUGGAUCAAAAGUCAUAUCCAGGGAGUGACAAAUGCCUCUCGCAAUGUAAAAUGUUUUAAAACAUGCCUUUGUCUAUUUUUAAAUUUUGACUGUUUAAACUAUCAAUUUGCACCAUCUCUGGAAGAAGGCCCCUAUGACAAGUAAACAUAAAAUAUAGGCUUUAGUUUCAGUUUCUGUCAGAAUUAAUACAAAUUCUGAAGGUAGUAGGGUGCUAAGACACAGCUUCAUACUGGGAAGACACUGCUGAAAUUCUCAUUGUGGGGAAAGCAUUGACAUUGAGUUUUAUGCUGGAUUAAAUUUACACAUGCUACUUUUUCACCGUCAGAAGAUACUCAGGAUGAAUCCUGGGGUUCCACUCAGUGUACACAGCAGGCAGGCCAGAGUAGCUCUACCCAUAGGUUACAUUUCUUCAGUCUUAAAAUAAUAAGAAAAGUCACUGUAUAAUAGUGUGGAAUGGAAUUAGUCAAAUUUUUUAUUAAUAAUUGCAUAAUUCAAACAAUGAAUUGCCUAAAUUACUUUGCUCGUUUGAGCAGCUCUUUGACAUUGCCUUGGUAUUGUCCUGUCUGGCACCACAAUUUUAUUUUCCUCUUAGUCCUUUUGGGAGUAGCUAUUUGUAGAUACUCGGUGGGGUUUCUUGGUUUGUUUUGUUUUUUUGUCCCAUUACCUCUUCUAAAUAGCAUGUCAUAUUCGUGAGAUAGCAAUCCAUACAAUUAUAUAAAAUAAAACCUUUAAAAAUCAA